UAGGGAAUCUUCGGCAAUGGACGAAAGUCUGACCGAGCAACGCCGCGUGAGUGAAGAAGGUUUUCGGAUCGUAAAACUCUGUUGUUAGAGAAGAACAAGGACGUUAGUAACUGAACGUCCCCUGACGGUAUCUAACCAGAAAGCCCCGGCUAACUACGUGCCAGCAGCCGCGGUAAUACGUAGGUGGCAAGCGUUGUCCGGAUUUAUUGGGCGUAAAGCGAGCGCAGGCGGUUUCUUAAGUCUGAUGUGAAAGCCCCCGGCUCAACCGGGGAGGGUCAUUGGAAACUGGGAGACUUGAGGGCAGAAGGGGAGAGUGGAAUUCCAGGUGUAGCGGUGAAAUGCGUAGAUAUAUGGAGGAACACCAGUGGCGAAGGCGGCUCUCAGGUCUGUAACUGACGCUGAGGCUCGAAAGCGUGGGGAGCAAACAGG
rnacentral:rRNA from 1 species